GAUGAAGAACGUAGUGAAAUGCGAUAAGUAAUGUGAAUUGCAGAAUUCAGUGAAUCAUCGAAUCUUUGAACGCACAUUGCGCCCGCCAGUAUUCUGGCGGGCAUGCCUGUUCGAGCGUCAUUACAACCCUCAGGCCCCCGGGCCUGGCGUUGGGGAUCGGCGGAGCCCCCCGUGGGCACACGCCGUCCCCCAAAUGCAGUGGCGGUCCCGCCGCAGCUCCCAUCGCGUAGUAGCUAACACCUCGCGACUGGAGAGCGGCGCGGCCACGCCGUAAAACACCCAACUCUUCUGAAGUUGACCUCGAAUCAGGUAGGAAUACCCGCUGAACUUAAGCAUAUCAAUAAGCGGAGGA
rnacentral:misc_RNA from 1 species